GACGCAUCAACUACUCACAUUCUAUUCAAGCCCAAGUCAUGGCUUGGUGGUGGCACGAGGCACACUCAACUAAAGAAGGAUUAUAACAAAAAAUAAAAAAAAAACUCAUUCAAUUAGUCUACACGACCUAAAAGAGGGAAACACAUUUUAGGUGAGAAAGUACAACUCUUUCAUAGAAGAUGGGUGGUUCCUAUUUUUGCAUUGUUCGGAUGUAGGACUGAAGUUUCACUAGUGACGUGGCACCUUAUGGGUGGUUGGUCAGUUGUAGACUGACAUGUGUCUCUUUUUCUGGGGGAAAAUCAAGCAUGAGUGGAAUAUCCAUGGGCCGAUUGGUCCUUUUAGGUGAGCAACACAUUGGAUUCUAGUCAGAGUGCUUGGCUGCUGGUCAAACCAGAGGACCAACCACAUGUAUUAGAUGGGCCUGGUUAGUCCCAUUAGUCCGUGGGCCUUCUUAGGUUUGGAUAAUGGGCUCUUCAGGCCUAGUUUAGGCCUUUUGGGCACAAUUACUUCCUUAGGCAAUCUCCAACCAUGUUGGGGCUAAACUCUAAUUUCCACCUUCCAAAUUCAACUAUUCAUGUAUUGCUCGGACUCAAACUUUUUUUUUUUCUCCAACCAUGCAGACUCAUAAUUUGAGUACUCGGUUUUAUUAAAUUGUUUAAGAAUGGUUAACUUGUAUUUUUUUUUUUUGGUUCAUUUUUCUUGACAUUAUUUUUGUUUCAACAUUCAUG
rnacentral:lncRNA from 1 species